AAUAAGUGUAGUUUUACACUAUUCACGUUCAACGUUUAAUCGUUUAUCUUAUUUGAAAUUUUUUUAUGAUUAGUAUUUUUAUUGCUAUUAGAUGAUAAAACAUAAAUAGUAUUUUAUGUGUGACUAAAUAUUUUUAAUUUUUUCAUAAAUUUUUUAAAUAAGACAGACGGUCAAACGUUGGGCAUGAAUAUCUACAGCUACACUUAUU
rfam:Oryza barthii chromosome 1, whole genome shotgun sequence.